AGCUCACAUUAAAAGAGAGAGAAAGAGAAAGAAACCAGAAACAAUAACAAAGAAGAUCUAAAGAAAAAGAAGAGUGAUGAAAAAGCAAGUGACAAUAUUGGCGGCUCUUCUGAUCAUAAUGGCUUUUUCUUCCAACUUAGAUAUGGUUGCGGAGGCUCAGUUAGGCCCCGGAGACUGCUACGAUAGUUGCUCCACAGGCUGCGUCCAGCGCGACUCGAGAAAGAUCGCCCGAUGCGAUAGCAAGUGCUCCAUUCGGUGCGGCCCAGAUGCUAAAAAGGCAAGAAAGACUGGUGCAUAAAUCUUUAUAUCCACUAUGAUCCAAUUAGAUUUAAUGAUGUUGUAAUCUCCAUUCAUAACUGCAUCGCUUCAAAACAUAUUUCGUAUUGUGUGUUGUUAUCGUAAUCAGUUAAUAAGGCAAUACAGCUACAAUGCUUGAUUUCACUUCUAGUACUAUAAUGUAUUAACAACUUUGAAAUGUAAUGAAAACCGGACCAACCGGUUUACUA